rnacentral:lncRNA from 1 species
AAACUUCUCUCUCACGUGUCCCUCUCCCUCACCACUUACCACUCACCUUUAAUUCAACCAAUUAAAUCACAUACAAGGACAAGAAAAAGAGGAAAAUCAGUAACCUUCCCUAUUCUUUCUCUCUUCCACGAGACAACAACAACAACACUCCAAAUCACCUCUUCUCUCAAUCAUUCACAUUACAUGCAAAGUUAAGAAAAAUGAAUUGAAGCUAAUUCCUUUCUCUCUUCUCUCUCUCGUGCUGCUAUCAACAAAACAACAACUUGACC